rnacentral:tRNA from 1 species
GCGUAAGUAGCUCAAUGGUAGAGCAGAGGAUAAAUUCCAGUCCUCACGGGAUGCAGGUUCGACCCCUGCCUUGCGCCCCA